rnacentral:rRNA from 1 species
UACGUAGGGGGCAAGCGUUGUCCGGAAUCAUUGGGCGUAAAGAGCGUGUAGGCGGUUCGGUAAGUCGGCUGUGAAAGUCCAGGGCUCAACCCUGGGAUGCCGGUCGAUACUGCCGGACUAGAGUUCGGAAGAGGCGAGUGGAAUUCCCGGUGUAGCGGUGAAAUGCGCAGAUAUCGGGAGGAACACCAACGGCGAAGGCGGUUCUCUGGGACGGUACUGACGCUGAGACGCGAAAGCGUGGGGAGCGAACAGG